AACGAACGCUGGCGGCGCGUCUUAAGCAUGCAAGUCGAACGGCAAGAGAGGAGCUUGCUUCUCUCCUAGAGUGGCAGACUGGUGAGGAACACGUGGGUAAUCUACCCUUAAGAUGGGGAUAGCUGCUAGAAAUAGCAGGUAAUACCGAAUACACUCGGCAUAUCACAAGAGGUGUUGAGGAAAGGAAGCUACGGCUUCGCUUGAGGAUGAGCUUGCGUCCCAUUAGCUAGUUGGUGAGGUAAAGGCCCACCAAGGCGACGAUGGGUAUCCGGCCUGAGAGGGUGAACGGACACAUUGGGACUGAGAUACGGCCCAAACUCCUACGGGAGGCAGCAGCUAAGAAUAUUCCGCAAUGGACGGAAGUCUGACGGAGCGACGCCGCGUGGAUGAAGAAGGCUGAAAAGUUGUAAAAUCCUUUUGUUGAUGAAGAAUAAGGGUGAGAGGGAAUGCUCAUCUGAUGACGGUAAUCGACGAAUAAGCCCCGGCUAAUUACGUG
rnacentral:rRNA from 1 species